GGUGAAAUUGGUCGGUAAUACUAAAAAAAUUACUCCGAUCCCAGAAGUUUUUAAAACUGGUGAAUUUCUUUCUUCUUAUUUUCCUUAAUCAUCUUUUUAAAAGUAGAGGACCCCACCCCCACCCCCACCCCCCUUCUUUCUCUCCCCACCUCCACAGACACCCUCUCUCUAAGUUCCUUCCCGGGAAAUCUGAACCUUUUUUCUCAGAUUUGUAAAUACACGGAAGCUCUGUUCAAUAGAUUUGUUUUUAGUUCGUAGAGUGAUCGUAUUAACGUGGUAUCUCCAUUAGGUUUUGUUGAGCUACGUUGGAGCUUGUUGAUCUUACUUGCAGGUUGAUAUCAAAAUGGCUUUGAAAAAUUCGAUUUUUCAGCGAAAUUCACAAUGUGAUAGGUAAAAUUCACACGAUCAGGGUGUGCAUGUGGUCUUGAUUGUGAUGAUGGUGGCCGCUGUUCUCGGCGCAGCUUCAGCAGCUGAGCCGCAAAACCCCAAAACAGCUGCGGCGGCGGCACAAGAGGAACAUUCUAGAAGGUCGCCAUUGUUGCCGUCGGAGAAAGACAACAGUAAUGGAGUUGCAAAUAAUCCAAGAAAACCUAAAUCAAGAAUUGUUUCCUCUCGAUACAUGUCCCCUUCGGCUUCAACUUCAACAUCAAAUUCAUCCUCAGUUUCCUCGUCUUCUUCCAAUUCUAGAAGGUACCCUUCCCCUUUAAUUCCAAGAAGCUCGACGCCGGUGUCGAAUGGCCCCAAGAGGUCUGUUUCCGUCGACCGCCGGCGGACGGCGGCGGCCAGACCUCUAAUAUCCGAUCUCGAUUCAAAGAAUGGAAAUGCUGCUGAAAUGUCAGCUGCCGCGAAGCUUCUCGUGACUUCUACCCGGAGUUUGUCGGUCUCGUUUCAAGGAGAAGCCUUUUCACUUCCCAUUAGUAAGACUAAGGCGGCGCCGCCUAAUGUGAGGAAAGGGACGCCGGAGAGGAGGAGGGGUAGCACCCCAUUGAGAGGAAAUCAGGUGGAGAAUUCUAAGCCUUCUGAUCACAACCGUUGGCCUGCCAGGAAUCGAGUGGUUAAUCCGUUGUCGCGGAGUUUGGAUUGCCGUGGCAGCGGCGGUGGUGACCGGAGUAAGGUGAUGGGAUCUGCGAAUGGAAUCCGAACUCUGCAGCAAUUGAUGAAUGAUGAGAAGAGGCCUUCUCUUGAUGGAAGCUUGAGUCUUGAUUUGGGGAAUUCUGACCUAAUAAAGGCAGUUCCUGAUGGGAAUUCAGUUAUUGAUGGAAUCUCAUUGCCUUGUGAUCUCACUGUAUCUGAUUCAGACAGUGUGUCUUCAGACAGUACUUCGGGAGUUCAAGAAUUUGGUGGGUCUGCCAAUGGCCGAAAUGGGCCUCGUGGGAUUGCUGUUUCGGCUAGGUUUUGGCAGGAAACUAAUAGCCGGUUGAGGAGGCUGCAGGAUCCAAGUUCACCUCUAUCAGUGAGUCCUACCUCUAAACUGAUGGUGCCGCCAAAUUUGAGAAGGAGCUCGAGUGAUGGUCAUGGUCUGUUUAUGUCAUCCCCACGCACAAUGUUGUCCCCUGCUCGUAGUGGUAUUAGACCUGCCUCGCCUAGCAAGCUCAUGACGACCCCUGUUGGAUCAUCUCCAUCUCGGGGUCAUAGUCCAUCUAGGAUAAAAAAUGCUGUUAGCACCAUUAAUAACAAUUUCAUUGAGACGCCUACAGUCCUUAGUUUUGCUGUUGAUGUCCGGAGGGGUAAAGUUGGGGAAAGCCGAAUUUUUGAUGCACACUUGUUGAGACUCUUGUACAACCGGAACCUGCAGUGGUGCUUUGUAAAUGCAACGACUGAGGCAGUUAUGUUGGUGCAGAAACACAGUGCAGAGAAAAAUCUGUGGAACUCCUGGAUAGCAAUCUCCGACCUACGUGAUACUGUCACCAAAAGAAGUCAUAGACUGCAGCUGCUGAGGCAAAAGUUGAGACUAGCUUCCAUUCUUAAAGGACAAAUGACCUUAUUAGAGGAUUGGGCUUCAAUGGAAAACAACCACUCAGAUUCUCUGCUUGGAGCUAUCGAAGCCUUAAAGGCUAGCACUCUUCGUCUUCCAGUCGUUGGAGGAGCCAGUGCCAAUGUUCUAGGCUUGAAGGAUGCAAUGGGUUCAGCUUUUGAUGUCAUGCAUGGAAUGGCAUCAUCGACAUGUUUACUUCUGCCAUUGGUUGAGAAAGUAAACACUUUAUUGACAGAACUUGCACAAGUGACUGCCAAAGAGCGAGCUUUACUCGAACAAUGCACAGAUUUUAUUUCCCUGUUAGCAGCCAUGCAGGUUCGAGACACUAGUUUGAGAACACAUCUAAUACAACAUAACUGUGUAUGAUGAGCUUAACAAGAGAGGUAGAACUGAUUGGACUCAACAAUAUUCAACUCUAGAUGCUAACACCAUACAGAACCAUCAGACCUCAUGGAGGAAGCAGUGAUUAUGUGAUAAGAAACGGAGUAAAUUCGCCAUUUUUUGCAGCGCCUCUCCUCCAGAUUCUGGAUUGUGUUAUCUUCCCCGUGAAAAUCGAGGAAGACGAAUCUCAGACGUGGAAGAGCAAAUGAGUCUCAAGCUUUGUGGUGGUAGCUUUUAAACAACGUGGGUUGGAAGAGAUGUGUAUUUCUAGCUGGCAACUUAAUUCACUCUUUUCUUCAAAAAGAUAGUACUCCCUCCGUCCACCAAUUCAAGGCCUACUUGCCUUUUUGGUCCGUCCACAAAAACAAGGCCUACCUAUUUUUGGCCUUUAAUUGGUGGACGGAGGGAGUACAAAUUAAUUCAUUCAACUUAUCAGCUUAACUGCAAAAAGUGAUUUCUAGCUGGCAAAAAAGAUGCUACACAACAAGCUGAUCAAGUGUAUAUUAAUGGUAAAAAAAUGUGGCCUAUCAAGGGCAAGGCUAUUUUCUUUUCUCUUUUUGACACUUUCUAAUUGUAGUAAUCUGGAGUAAUUUGGUCAGGUAGAUUUCAGGUUUCAAACAAUUGAAAUGCAAAUUACGAUUA